rnacentral:rRNA from 1 species
UACGUAGGGCGCAAGCGUUGUCCGGAAUUAUUGGGCGUAAAGAGCUCGUAGGUGGUUUGUUACGUCCGCUGUGAAAUCCUAGGGCUUAACCCUGGGCUUGCAGUGGAUACGGGCAGACUAGAGGUAGGUAGGGGAGAAUGGAAUUCCUGGUGUAGCGGUGAAAUGCGCAGAUAUCAGGAGGAACACCGGUGGCGAAGGCGGUUCUCUGGGCCUUACCUGACACUGAAGAGCGAAAGCGUGGGGAGCGAACAGG